AAAAAGAUACCACAGUGCUACAAUGCGUCCAGUGCUGUGGACUCUCAUGCGAUCCUGGGGUUUGAAUUAAGCCAAGGACAUGCCAACGUAUGCAAUCUACCGGUUUUGCCUUCCCAUCUCCUAAUAAGAAGCAGAUGUGGAAACCACCUCACCACCAGGAGAAC